rnacentral:tRNA from 1 species
CAAUAAAAGAAAUUAUACUCACCUUUGGUUUACAAAACCAAUGCUCUUUAUAAGCUAUUAUUGC